GCAGCAGCAGUGGCAAAGCCAUCUGCAGCAGCGCAGGCUCCAGGCUCCAGCCGUGCCUUUUCUCACAGCAGAUGCUGCUGCGCCCACCACCUCGGCUCAGCCCCGAGUCCCCGGCAUGUCUGGCACGCAAAGGCUGGCCUCAGGUUUCCUGAAAGGCUUGUGAUUUUCUGCCCUGAGUUGCCAUCCAAAUGAAGAUGCUGGCUGGAAAAAGGCUGAGCAAGGUUUUGUGUCCACCUCAGCCCUCCCCAGGAGUGAGCUUUGCCCCUGCCUGAGCUCAGCCAGUUAAGCAUCCAGCUUCUCUGCACUACAGUGCAGACCCUGGAAGUGGCAGCUCCUGCUGUGUCACCCGGGCUGUUAAAGGAUCGCAGCAGGCCCAGGGCAGCUGGGGAAGCAAAUGGCCCUUCAUUCCCACACCGUUUAAUCAGCAAGUCCCAACAAGGAGGAUGUUAUCUUCCAAAAGCAUGGAGAAGACCUUGGAGCUGUGCUUAGUCCAGAGAACCACUUCAGAAGAUAAAACCCCAAGAGAAAUAAGAGACAAAACACAAGUCAAAACCAACAGUUUUACCUGUUUAGACUGUAGCCCACACUGCAGCGCAGCCCUGGCAUCAGGCUGAACAGAAGUAGCAUCCAGCAAAGCAAGCCAAGGCCUCCAGGUGCUUGAAAUUAUACAAGUGCUUAAGAUGUAAUUGAGAAAAGCACAUAAGGAGCACAAGUGCUGUCAGCCUGAGCAUAAUGAAUAUAUAAUAAAUCAUACAGAAGCAUUCUUUUUUAUUAUGUUUC